rnacentral:rRNA from 1 species
GAUGAACGCUGGCGGCGUGCCUAAUACAUGCAAGUCGAGCGAACAGACGAGGAGCUUGCUCCUCUGACGUUAGCGGCGGACGGGUGAGUAACACGUGGAUAACCUACCUAUAAGACUGGGAUAACUUCGGGAAACCGGAGCUAAUACCGGAUAAUAUAUUGAACCGCAUGGUUCAAUAGUGAAAGACGGUUUUGCUGUCACUUAUAGAUGGAUCCGCGCCGCAUUAGCUAGUUGGUAAGGUAACGGCUUACCAAGGCAACGAUGCGUAGCCGACCUGAGAGGUGGAGGAGCCACCAGGGAACUGUGACACGGUCCAGCCGAAUACGGGAGGCAGCAGUAGGGAAUGUUCGGCAAUGGGCGAAAGAUUGACGGAGCAACGGCGCGUGAGAGAUGAAGGUCUUCGGAUCGUAAACCUCUGUUAUUAGGGAAGAACAAAUGUGUAAGUAACUACGCACGUCUUGACGGUACCGAAUCAGAAAGCCACGGCUAACUACGUG